GUCUCUGGCUACUAACAUGCAGUUUGCUUUCUGAUUUCAGGAAUCCAAACUUCCUGAAGACUCUCCAAGUUUUUUUUAUUCAUAUCCUUGAUUUUAUUGUACGUACUAAUCAGAUGUUGUUCACAGACUGUCUCUCAAUAGACUCAGGCAACAGCAAGGACGUCGUGUGAUCGCAUUGGUCGCGAAAAUUAUGAGUUUUGGAAUAAAUUCCCUGAUUGUGUGUCAUGCAAAUCUUUCGAUCCAACAACGUCCUCCUUGUCUUGGGAGCUUUCGAUUUGCAUUGGCUCCCGCACGGAUCUAGCAAAUUGAUGGCAUAUCAAUGAGAACGCAUGAGAUGAAUGCGUUGUGAAUUGAAUUGGAAACAAAGAUUUUCUUUGAUGGAUACUUACUCUACGCUGUGGUAGAGCUAUACGAAAAGAGGCAUGACCUAUUUAUCCAAGAAAUGAUUUUUAUAAAUUUUUUCACGAUAUUACCGAUGUCAGAAGGAAGAGAGCGAGCAAUGCAAGCCCGAGCCAAAAAUACCAUGCUUCCCAAAGCUGGCGGCUCGGUCUUCGCUGGAUAAGACAACAUUGUGGAUUGCAACAAUAUUGCUUAUCUGGUGUACAAAAUACCGGACCAUUAGCCGUGUAAUUUUCGUUACGAAGUCCCAGAUUACACUCGUAUACCAUACGUGCCAUUGCGAUACGGUGCAGGGGCUGUUAUCUUGGAAUUGAAGGUCUUUGCUUUGAAACUUGGCUAAAGAUUAGAAUACUAGCUGUCACAAUCCUACUCCUUGUACAUAUAGUCCUUAUUUGUGAAUCAGGAGAAUAAAAUUCAGGAACUCUGUUG